rnacentral:rRNA from 1 species
AGAGUUUGAUCCUGGCUCAGAUUGAACGCUGGCGGCAUGCUUUACACAUGCAAGUCGAACGGCAGCACGGGGGCGAACCCUCGGUGGCGAGUGGCGAACGGGUGAGUAAUGCAUCGGAACGUAUCCUUGAGUGGGGGAGUAACNCAGACGUAAAGUUGUGCUAACUACCGCAUAAGCUCGUGGGGAGGGAGAGGCGGGGGACCGGAAACGGCCUCGCGCUGAAGGAGCGGCCGAUGUCCGAUUAGCUAGUUGGUGAGGUAAAGGCUCACCAAGGCGACGAUCGGUAGCUGGUCUGAGAGGAUGAUCAGCACACUGGGACUGAGACACGGCCCAGACUCCUACGGGAGGCGAC